UGCUUAACACAUGCAAGUCGAACGAUGAACCCGGAGCUUGCUCCGGCGGAUUAGUGGCGAACGGGUGAGUAACACGUGAGUAACCUGCCCUUGACUCUGGGAUAACUGCUAGAAAUGGUAGCUAAUACCGGAUACGACCCUCGGAGGCAUCUCCAGGGGGUGGAAAGAAUUUCGGUCAAGGAUGGACUCGCGGCCUAUCAGCUAGUUGGUGAGGUAAAAGCUCACCAAGGCAAUGACGCCUAGGGGACCUGAGAGGGUGACCCCCACCGAUGGAACUGAGACACGGUCCAUACACCUACGGGUGGCCGCAGUCGAGAAUCUUCCGCAAUGGACGAAAGUCUGACGGAGCGACGCCGCGUGCAGGAUGAAGUCCUUCGGGAUGUAAACUGC
rnacentral:rRNA from 1 species